AUCACGCAUUUCUUAAAUAUCAUUGAAUUUUUGUGAUUUUUUGCAAUAAAAAGUGUUUGUGGUAGUAAUUUGGAAAUAUUUGCACUUAUUUAUGACGGUAAAUUUGACUUUUUAUUACUCGCUGUACAGGUCAUAUAAUGUGACAUCAAUUAGGUUUGAGGCAGCUGUUUAGUUCAAGUAGGGAAGUUUCACAUUUUUUUUUAUUUGCUCAGAAAAGUGCAGGGAUUUGUUGAUUUUGGUGAAUUUCCCUGAUAAUUCUAAAAGAAACUGGAGCGACUGAUUGAUAUAAUUUGGCAGUAAACGGAUAGAACUGCAUUAAUUUGAUUGAUAGCAUAAUAUUUAAGCACACUUAGUGUUUAGUUUAGAAUCUGGAGGGCCGCACAAACCCACAGCGGCCCGGAUUUGGCCCACGGGCCUUCAGUUUGACACGUGCUCUAAGGGGAUAUAUCCCGUAAUAAUUAAUAUCACAGAAGGAACUUUGACAGUCAAGGGGGAACUGCUACCCCACAAAACUUCAGGAGUCCACACUGGGAAUAGAACCCCAACUUGGACUGUAUUAGAUCAAACCCCAUCCUCCCCAAAUCCCAUGUUUGGUCCCAGCUAAAUGACAUUAUAUCUAGAAACCUGGCUCAGAAAAACUACAGUUAAUCUUAAAGGUCCAUACUCAAACUUAAUUGAAAUGCUUAAAGAAGCAGUUUUAAAAGGCGUCCCUGGAUAUGUUAUGCAGUCUAUAAAACACACUCAAGAUCUUGCAGGGUGUGAACAUGUGAGAUGGAAAAGACUCUUGCUUCAUCACCUCUUAAAGGCGCAGGACGAAUAAAAUAAUAAUAAAAAAAACAGUCUUAAGGGCUUAGACACUCAAUUGCAGGAAGCAAAACAAAAUUACAUUAAUUAAAUAAACAGUAAACAACAACAUGUGAUGGUUGCAGCAGCAUCUUCUCAAAAUAAAUCUACACAGGGUAAAAUUCCAAAUUACUGGCAAAACUCUAAUCAUACUGGGGGGGGGACUGGUUCCUCCUCCUGCUUUUUCUUUUUCAUAUCCUCAAACAGAUACAGAGCGUUUCCUCGUGGACAGGGAUGGCGUUUGGCUGGAUGUGGAUGGGGAGCCAUGGGGCAAGGUCACGGAGCACGAGGCCAAGGACCAAAGGAACUUGACGUGCUACCAGUGUGGACAUUUUGGACACUGGGCCAAACACUGUGUGAACAUACCAAAGACUGCCAGGUAUGAUCCCCAACAAUCCUUAUGUGAUUCCUGGACAUUGCUUUCAGGGGAAUACUGAGGCCACACAGAACAUCUACUGACACACUGCUGAGGACCCCAGAGACAAUGUGGGUACAGCAGACCCCAUGUUGUCUGCAACAGUGGAAGGAAAACACACAGACUUCCUGGUUGACACCGGAGCCACACAUUCCACUCUGAACUCUGCUCCUCCUUUUUCUCUGACAUCAAGAACUGUGUCUUUAACAGGGUUCUCAGGGACUGAACAGAGUCUGCUAUUCACGAUGCCUCUGACCUUCACCUUGGGUAAUCAGAAUAUGAAACAUUCUUUUCAGCCUAAUGUCAACGUUCUUGGCCUGGAAGCCCUGGCUCCUGUGUCUGCGCUUCUGUGUUCCUCCUCCGGAUCCACCAUGCGCGGCCCUGUUCUGCGACAGAGACGCCUCUGAAUGGCACUAGGAACUUUUCCUUUCCACUCUGGAGGAAACAACCUAGCAGGUAAAAGUAUCGGACAUUUAUGUAGCUCCUGUUGGUGUAGCUGCUGUUGUCUCUUUCGCAAAAAAAAACCAAUCAGAAUGGUAUUAAAUGUCUCACAUUUCUCUCUGUUUGCACCCUGAGCACCAAGUGAAAAAAUUGGGCGUAAUGAUGAAACGUUCCCUGGCAGCCACAGAUUCGAUUGCCACAGCAGCACUAGGUUUGUUUUUCUCCCGCUCUCUUGAAAAAUAUAAGAUCAGUCAUUUAGGAUCUCAUCACAUAAUAAAUUUUGAAGUAAAAUGUAAUGCAAUUUUCCAUAAAUUCGUGAAAUUAGGCAUUCUGAUGAGACUCCUUGCUUUGUAAAAUUAACAAUCUUUAAACAUAUUUCCUAGCAUGCCUACAUUUCUUAUUUAAAUAGUUUUCUUUCUAUUGUUUGGUAAGAUAUUCCAAUUUAAUUUGUCAUAUUUCCAUUAACUGUGAGCAUAAAAUUAUUAUCAUUACUAGACUUAAAGACUUUAGUUAAAAUAAAUUAACAUCUAAUAUGCAAUACAUAUAAAUAUUUUUAAAAUUGACUGUUCCCUCAUAAUAGAAUCGAUUUUAGUUUAAUCAGGUUUUGCAAGAUAUUUUGCAGGACUGCCCACUAGACUUUUUGCUUGCUGCACCAACUACGGAGACCUGCGUUAAAGCAACCUCUCUGGUUUUGCAGCGCCUGCGUCAAACAGAUUUUAAGGUCAGUAAAAGCAGAUUGCUCGAAAACAGGCUAAGUUUCUGGGUAGAAUAAUUUCAGCAGGAACGACUGGCAUGUCCCCAUGGAACAAGCUUUUGCCUCUCUCAAACAACACAUGGCGUCAGCUGCAGAGCUGUCCAUCCCUGAAUACACUUUACAGUUCUUUGAGGAUAUUUCUGGAACAAAACUGACUGUUUUGUUUCAGAAAAAGGGGGAGGAAAAGGGCAUCACCCUUGUAUGCAACAGGCAGCUGGGAUACCCGAUACAAAAACUGAACACAUAGUCAUGGGACAUUCACUGAGUUUCACCAUGACAGCGUUGAGACAACAAACACUUUCCAAAGUCCUGAAAGCUCCAAACAUUUCAUUCACACACCAAGACAUAAAUAUGGCAGACUGUUUUUCAGAAGGAGAACCACACGUGUGUGCAGACCUGGUGGCAAAGACAGACAAGGUAACACCAGAACUUCAGCAGCUCCUCUGCUGGGACCAGAGGUGAGACAGUUCUUUACAGAUGGUUGUUGUUUCAGAAACGACACACAAGGGUUAAGAGCCUGGAAGAGGUGGUGAGAUGCCAAAAGGGGGCGCCACCUGAAGAGAAAAACGUGAAACAAAUGGGUGCUGGAGGGGCCCAGAUGGCAGGUUAAUUCUGCCUCCUGGGAAAAUACAAGAGCUGCUUCAAGAAGCUCACGGGUUGGAUAUGUUGGGACGAAGCAGAUGAUGCACAAUCUUAAAGAGUGGUGGCACCUCAAAUGAUCCACAUGGUGAAACAUUUUGUGAAAAAUUGUUCGGUGUGCGGACAGUUGAAUCCUAAGAAAACUUUGAAUCCACAUCAGGGACAGUUCCCUCCAGUUACAUGUCCAGGAAAAGAAAUUGUGUUAAAUUCUACUGACAUGAUAAACCCGUUGCAAGACAAAAGAUAUUUGCUGAUUUGUGUUGAUGCUUUCACAGGAUGGCCUGAAGCGUGGCCAGCAACAGCAGAAGAUAGUGAAAUCAUCAUAAAAUGUCUAAUCAAUCAUUACCUCCCAAGGCAAAGCAGAAUGAAUGAAUCAAAAUUUAAAACAAAAUUGGCUAAGGUUUGUGCACAAACAAAAUUAAAUUAGGUCGAUACAUUACACAGGAACCAACUUGUGGUUAGACUGAUUAACUGCAACAGCACGAUAAUAUCAAAUGUCUAACUGUGUGGCCUGCACAGCUGGACGACCCAGAAUCUAUACUGAACCUGCUUCUUUGGGGUUCUAACUGCAUGCUUAAUAUGACUAAGUUUAAACAGCCCUCUGGAUGUGACACUUUAACAGCUUUAUUUCCAGUAAUCAACAGCGGAGCCCGGAUGGUGCCGCUAUUCCAGUUAAAGAUAACUAUGUCUGUUUCAAUUUUACAACAGGUAACCGCAGUGUGGGCCGGAUCCCUGAAAGUUGGUGUAACAUCACAUUCCCACAGCACUUAAUAGGCUAGAGAUGGGAUAUUUUAUCUAUGCAGGGGUAAUAAACUAAUUGAGAGAAUAUAGACUGGUGUGACAGGUGUCUGUGCUAUGGUGAGACUUAGAGCCUGUGUCAUCAUGGUAGGCGAACAACAACCUCUGAAUCACAGCAUCUUUUCACAGGUCAAGUGCAGCGCAACUGUGGAGCUGCAACUUUCCAGAUUUUAAAUG